AAAAUCCAAGCAGACUGAUGGAUGUCUGUCUAACUUUGUAGGGGUUAUGUGAGGCAAAUCCUUGCAUUAUAAAUCCCUGAUGAAGGACGGGGACUGUGCAGUGAUGCAUGGGAACUUGGAGGAGCCGUACUGCCAAGAAAGAGCCGCUCAGGGAGGUUAUUUGUUGCCCGUACCGGAAACCGACACAGGUGGACGAGGGUAGUACCCAAAGGCGCACAAGAGAACCCCUGUUAAGGAACUCGGCAAAAUGCACGUGUAACUUCGGGAUAAGCGUGGCCUCAAGUAGGUGAUGGGGAGAAACCGAAGCUGAAAGAGGUUGCAAAAAAGAGGCUCUGGCGACUGUUUACCAAAAACACAGAUCUCUGCUAAGACUUAAGUCUAAGUAUAGGGAUUGAGACCUGCCCGGUGCCAGAAGGUUAAAGAAGGGGGUCAACGGGGUAACCCGUGAAGCUCUUGACUGAAGCCCUGGUAAACGGCGGCUGUAACAAUAACAGUCCUAAGGUAGCGAAAUUCCUUGUCGGGUAAGUUCCGACCUGCAUGAAUGGUAUAACGACUGGAGCGCUGUCUCAACAGGGGACUUGGUGAAAUUGAAGUAUCGGUGCAAAUACCGAUUACCCGCAGCUAGACGGUAAGACCCUGUGAACCUUUACUGUACCCUGGCACUGUAUUCUGGCACGUCCUGUGUAGGAUAGGUGGGAGGCUAUGAAGCGUGGGCGCCAGCUUGCGUGGAGCCAACCUUGAAAUACCACCCUUAACGUGUCGGACUACUAACGGAUGCUGUGGAAGCAUCUAGACAGUGUCAGGCGGGCAGUUUGACUGGGGCGGUCACCUCCCAAAGUGUAACGGAGGUGUACGAAGGUUCCCUCGAGCUGUAUAGAAAUCAGCUGAAAGAGCGUAAAGGUAUAAGGGAGCUUGACUGCGAGAGAGACAUCUCGAGCAGGGACGAAAGUCGGUCUUAGUGAUCCGGUGGUUUUUGUAUGGAAAAGCCAUCGCUUAACGGACAAAAGGUACUCCGGGGAUAACAGGCUGAUACCGCCCAAGAGUUCACAUCGACGGCGGUGUUUGGCACCUCGAUGUCGGCUCAACUCAUCCUGGGGCUGAAGUAGGUCCCAAGGGUUCGGCUGUUCGCCGAUUAAAGAGUUACGUGAGCUGGGUUCAGAACGUCGUGAGACAGUUCGGUCCCUAUCUACUGUGGGCGCUGGAUAUUUGAGGGGAGCUGUUCCUAGUACGAGAGGAUCGGAAUGGACGUACCUCUGGUGCACCAGUUGUCGUGCCAACGGCACAGCUGGGUAGCUAUGUACGGAAGGGAUAACCACUGAAAGCAUCUAAGUGGGAAGCCUCCCCCAAGAUUAGAUAUCCCUCAAGGUUCCAGGUAGACUACCUGGUUGAUAGGUCGCAGGUGUAAGUACAGUAAUGUAUUCAGCCGAGCGAUACUAAUAAACCGUUUGACUUGCCCCU
rnacentral:rRNA from 1 species